UACGUAGGGUCCGAGCGUUAUUCGGAAUUACUGGGCGUAAAGCGCGCGCAGGCGGUUUUUUAAGUCUGAUGUGAAAGCCCCGGGCUUAACCUGGGAAUGGCAUUUGGGACUGCAAGGCUGGAGUACGGCAGAGGGAGGUGGAAUUCCAGGUGUAGCAGUGAAAUGCGCAGAUAUCAGGAGGAACACCGGUGGCGAAGGCGGUUCUCUGGGCAUGUCCUGACGCUGAGGAGCGAAAGUGUGGGGAGCGAACAGG
rnacentral:rRNA from 1 species